CCUACGGGAUGCAGCAGUGGGGGAUAUUGGACAAUGGGGGCUACCCUGAUCCAGCGAUGCCGCGUGAGGGAAGAAGGUUUUCGGAUUGUAAACCUCUGUGGAGGGGGACGUUAAUGACGGUACCUCUUUAGGACGCCACGUCUAACUACGUGCCAGCAGCCGCGGUCAUACGGAGGUGGCGAGCGUGGUCCGGAAUUACUGGGUGUAAAGGGAGUGUAGGGGGUAAAUCAAGUCAGAAGUGAAAACUAUGGGCUUAACCCAUAGCCUGCUUUUGAAACUGUUUUACUUGAGUGAAGUAGAGGCAAGCGGAAUUCCUAGUGUAGCGGUGAAAUGCGUAGAUAUUAGGAGGAACACCAGUGGCGAAGGCGGCUUGCUGGGCUUUUACUGACGCUGAGGCUCGAAAGCGUGGGGAGCAAACAGGAUUAGAUACCCCGGUAGUC
rnacentral:rRNA from 1 species